rnacentral:rRNA from 1 species
CACGUAGGGCGCGAGCGUUGUCCGGAAUUAUUGGGCGUAAAGAACUCGUAGGCGGCCUGUUGCGUCCGCUGUGAAAGCCCGGGGCUUAACCCCGGGUCGGCAGUGGAUACGGGCAGGCUAGAGGUAGGUAGGGGAGAAUGGAAUUCCCGGUGUAGCGGUGAAAUGCGCAGAUAUCGGGAGGAACACCGGUGGCGAAGGCGGUUCUCUGGGCCUUACCUGACGCUGAGGAGCGAAAGCGUGGGGAGCGAACAGG